rnacentral:lncRNA from 1 species
UGUUAGAUAUGGUCUUCUUUUUUUUUUUGGGUAAACUUCAUAUACUAUCCAUGUGGUUUCGCACUUUUCAUUUUAGUAUUCUAUAAUUUAAAGUGUAUCAAGUUAGCAUUUUAUGAUUUCAUUUUUAUCUUUUUAUCAGUUUCUCCGUUAAUAUUUCACUAAAUUAUAUACAAAAAAUUUCAGAUACUCCACCUAGGUUUAUCGAAUAUUCACUUUAGUACUCUUUAGUUUUAAUUUUGUCACUGAUUUAUCAAAAAAAAAUUAGUAGAAUCAAUAAUAAAAAAAUAAAAAUGAAAUCACGGGAUACUAAAUCGAUAUACUUUAAACCAUAUGAUACUAAAGUGAGAAAGUGUCAAAUUAUGCAGAUGAUAUUUGAAGUUUUUUCUUUUAUUUUUGAGAAGUUGCCCGAUGGCUGAAGUAAGAAGUAU